rnacentral:pre_miRNA from 1 species
GUUCUACUCCCUCCGUUCGGAAUUACUUGUCACAGAAAUGAAUGUAUCUAGACGUAUUUUAGUUCUAGAUACAUCCAUUUCCGAGACAAGUAAUUCCGAACGGAGGGAGUAUUUC